rnacentral:rRNA from 1 species
GACGAACGCUGGCGGCGUGCUUAACACAUGCCAGUCGAACGGAAAGGCCCUGCUUUUGUGGGGUGCUCGAGUGGCGAACGGGUGAGUAACACGUGAGUAACCUGCCCUUGACUUUGGGAUAACUUCAGGAAACUGGGGCUAAUACCGGAUAGGAGCUCCUGCUGCAUGGUGGGGGUUGGAAAGUUUCGGCGGUUGGGGAUGGACUCGCGGCUUAUCAGCUUGUUGGUGGGGUAGUGGCUUACCAAGGCUUUGACGGGUAGCCGGCCUGAGAGGGUGACCGGCCACAUUGGGACUGAGAUACGGCCCAGACUCCUACGGGAGGCAGCAGUGGGGAAUAUUGCACAAUGGGCGGAAGCCUGAUGCAGCAACGCCGCGUGCGGGAUGACGGCCUUCGGGUUGUAAACCGCUUUCGCCUGUGACGAAGCGUGGGUGACGGUAAUGGGUAAAGAAGCACCGGCUAACUACGU